AGCGAACGCUGGCGGCAGGCCUACACAUGCAAGUCGAACGAACCUUUCGGGGUUAGUGGCGGACGGGUGAGUAACACGUGGGAACGUGCCUUUAGGUUCGGAAUAACUCAGGGAAACUUGUGCUAAUACCGAAUGUGCCCUUCGGGGGAAAGAUUUAUCGCCUUUAGAGCGGCCCGCGUCUGAUUAGCUAGUUGGUUGAGGUAAUGGCUCACCAAGGCGACGAUCAGUAGCUGGUCUGAGAGGAUGAUCAGCCACAUUGGGACUGAGACACGGCCCAAACUCCUACGGGAGGCAGCAGUGGGGAAUCUUGCGCAAUGGGCGAAAGCCUGACGCAGCCAUGCCGCGUGAAUGAUGAAGGUCUUAGGAUUGUAAAAUUCUUUCACCGGGGACGAUAAUGACGGUACCCGGAGAAGAAGCCCCGGCUAACUUCGUG
rnacentral:rRNA from 1 species